rnacentral:rRNA from 1 species
CGCGGCCUAUCAGCUUGUUGGUGGGGUGAUGGCCUACCAAGGCGACGACGGGUAGCCGGCCUGAGAGGGUGAUCGGCCACAUUGGGACUGAGAUACGGCCCAGACUCCUACGGGAGGCAGCAGUGGGGAAUAUUGCACAAUGGGCGGAAGCCUGAUGCAGCGACGCCGCGUGAGGGAUGACGGCCUUCGGGUUGUAAACCUCUUUCAGCAGGGACGAAGCGUAAGUGACGGUACCUGCAGAAGAAGCACCGGCUAACUACGUGCCAGCAGCCGCGGUAAUACGUAGGGUGCGAGCGUUGUCCGGAAUUACUGGGCGUAAAGAGCUCGUAGGCGGUUUGUCACGUCGUCUGUGAAAUCCUAGGGCUUAACCCUGGACGUGCAGGCGAUACGGGCUGACUUGAGUACUACAGGGGAGACUGGAAUUUCUGGUGUGGCGGUGGAAUGCACAGAUAUCAGGAAGAACACCGAUGGCGAAGGCAGGUCUCUGGGUAGUAACUGACGCUGAGGAGCGAAAGCAUGGGUAGCGAACAGGAUUAGAUACCCUGGUAGUCCAUGCCGUAAACGGUGGGCGCUAGGUGUGGGGUUCCUUCCACGGGCUCCGCGCCGUAGCUAACGCAUUAAGCGCCCCGCCUGGGGAGUACGG